rnacentral:rRNA from 1 species
AUACGGAGGAUGCGAGCGUUAUCCGGAUUUAUUGGGUUUAAAGGGUGCGUAGGCUGUGCGUUAAGUCAGGGGUGAAAUGCCGUCGCUCAACGACGGAGCUGCCCUUGAUACUGGCGUGCUGGAGUACGGAUGCCGUUGGAGGAAUGAGUGGUGUAGCGGUGAAAUGCUUAGAUAUCACUCAGAACACCGAUUGCGAAGGCAUCUGACGAAUCCGUCACUGACGCUGAGGCACGAAAGCGUGGGGAUAGAACAGGAUUAGAUACCCUGGUAUUCCACGCCGUAAACGAGGAUGACUAACCGUCGGCGAUAGACAGCCGGUGGCCAAGCGAAAGCGAUAAGUCAUCCACCUGGGGAGUACGUCGACAACGAUGAAACUCAAAUGAAUUGACGGGG